rnacentral:lncRNA from 1 species
UUUUUUUUUUUUCGUGUCCUCCUUAAUGCCUAUCACCCAUUUAGCCCAGCCUCCUGCCCACUUCUCUUCCAGUAAUCCUCAGUUUGUUCUCUAUCAUCAAGAGUCUGUUUUAUGAUUUGCCUCUCUCUUAUUUUCCUUAUAUUCAUCUAUUUUGUUUCUUAAAUUCCACAUACGACCAAAAUCAUACGGUAUUUGCCUUUCUCUGACUGACUUAUUUAGUUUAGCAUAAUACCCUGUAAUUCUAUCUACAUUGUUGCAAAUGGCAAGAUUUCAUUCUUUUUGAUGGCUGAGUAGUAUUCCAUUACACACACAGAGACACACACACACACUACAACAUCUUUAUCCAGUCAAUGGACAUUUGGACUCUUCCCAUAAUUUGGCUGUUGUUGUUAGCACUGCUAUAAACAUCAGGGUGCAUGUGUCCCUUCACAUCAGUAUUUUUGUAUUCAUUGGGUAAACACCUUGCAGUGCAAUUGCUGGAGCAUAGGUAUUUCUAUUUUUAAGUUUUUGAAGAACGUCCAUACUGUUUUCCAGGGUGGCUGUAUCUGCUUGCAUUCCCACUGACAGUACGAGAGGGUUCCCCUUUCUCUGCAUCCUCACUAACAUCUGUUGUUUCUUGUGUUGCUAAUUUUAGACAUUCUGACAGGUGUGAGGUGAUAUCUCAUUAUAGUUUCGAUUUCUAUUUCCCUGAUGGCGAGUGAUGUUGAGCAUCUUUUUGUGUGUCUGUUAGUCACCUGGAUGUCUUCUUUGGAAAAACAGCCAUUCAUGACUUCUGCCCACUUUUAACUAGAUUGUUUUUUGGGUGUUGAGUUUGAUAAGCUCUUCAUAGAUUUUGCAUACUAACUCUUUAUCAGAUAUGUCUUUUGCAAAUACCUUUGACAGAGCAUUUUUGUAUUACUACAUCUGUCCAUUCUCAUGACAACAUUUGAAGGAAGACAGGCAGCUAUCGUUAUACCUGAUUACCAAGAAGAAAACCAAAGCUCAAGAUAGCCUACCUACAUAGCAAAACCACAACUCAAACAUGCAUUUUCUUUUGUGAUUUCAGAUCUUGACUGUCUUUUUUGCUUCCUUUGGAACAGGAAUAUGCAUGUAUAUUACCUUCGGCUUCAAUCUCCAAACAGCAUUUCCUGUCAUCCUUGCACACCUUUCUGUUAUCAGUAAAAGGAAAAACAAUACAAACUAAAUGCCCCCCUUUUUUUGUAAGGUGAGAAGGAACUGAAAAAAUAUGAAAGUUAGUAAAGCCCAUGCCACCCCCAUAAAUUCUCACCUAUUAUUUUCUAGAGAGAAUCCAAACUAAAAUCAUUUAUCUAAACGAAAGCUUCGUGUUCAGAAAGCCGUCCUACUGCUUAACUAUGCUACAUAACAAAGCACCUCAAAAUAAUUGGCUUUAAAAAGCAUUUAUUAUUGCUCAGGAGUUUAUGAAUGGGCAUAAACUGGACAUACCCUAUCAGUUCUGGUUUCAGCUGACUUAGUGGUGUAUCUGUGGUCAACAGUGGACUCAGUAAGCAAAUGUGCUGCUCUUGUUUGGGUUUUCACACAUAUCUGUGCAAGGGCUCGCUGUAGACUGGUCUAGAUUGGCCUCAGCUGGGACAGUUGAUCACUCCUUGUGAUCCUUCAUCCUCCAAGAGUCUGUCCCAGGCUUGUCUAGUGAUAGCGGCAGUAGUCCUAGGAAGGAAACAAGAUGGACAAGAGCUCUUGUAGCCAAGACUUAGAACUGGCCCUUCAUCCCUUCCACUGCAUUCUAUUAUUCACAGCAAACCAGCCCCAAAAGAGGAAGUGGGGGAAAAGAAUCUCACCUUUUGAUAUGAUAAACUGGAAAAUCUCACAGCAAAGGGAAUGGAUAGGAAAUAGUUGGAGAAUUGGGGCCAUCUUUGCUGACAUUCUAUUGUAACCAUUAAUAUGUUAUAUCACUGAGAAGGAAUGACUAGCAUAUUAACACACAUAUUAGACAUUUGCACUGAUGAGUUGCUUGUCACCUUGAAGCAUGGAAAACUCUCAGUUAAUCAGGCAAGAGAUUUGAUAAUAAAAUAUGAUAAUUUACUCAUCUUUGUAUUCCCAACACUUAGUAUUGCAUCAAGCAAAUUGUACGCAACCCACAAAAAUAAUUAAUAACGAUAAAAGAAAUGAUAGUGGAAAAUUACUCUGUUAGAAAUUACAAAUCAACUGAAUCACAAUUCAGCUAUGCCAAAUUACCUGUGCGACUUUGGAAGGGAUUAAUUCAGCCUCCUUAGGAUUUCUAGAGACAGGCUAGGCAUUCUCUAAAUGUUUUUCUUGCUUCCUUCUUUCCUUCCUUUUCUUUUUCUUUCUUUCACCCUGAAAUAUUAAGGCUGUAAGAACCCACUCAUUAUACAGAUGGGGAGACUGGAGCUAAGAAAACAAAUCACUUGGCUUAAAAACCCAAAUGGCUAAUGUCAGAGACAAAAACUCAGAGUUCAUGACUGCCAGCCCAGCCCCCCAUGUCUUAACUCUAGCACAUUGCUACUUAAGAGUAUAUUCCAUGGGCCAGUGCAUCAGCAUUCCAUAGGACCUUGGUAGAAAUGCAGGAUCUCAGAUCCCUAUCCCAGGUCUACUGAAUUAGAAUCUUCAUUUUAAUAAGAUCCCCAGAUAAUUCAUAUAUGUAUUAAAGUUGGUGAAGCUCUAGAUAGCAGGGGCAAGAAAGAACUUCAAAAAAACUUGUUUAGUUAGAAGGAUAUUCCUUUGGAUAUAUUAACACUGAAACCAUAUUUUCUACACAUCUUGCACUAAUUCAUUUAACAAAUACUUCCUGAAUACUUACUCUGUUUGAGGUGUUAUAGAAACAUCAAGAACAGGUCUUGCCCCUCACCCCUCUCCAGAGAUCGCAUUCUAAAAGGGCAGCCCCGGUGGGCAGCGGUUUAGCGCCGCCUGCAGCUCAGGGCAUGAUCCUGG